AAAGGAAUAGACGGGGACCCGCACAAGCAGUGGAGUAUGUGGUUUAAUUCGACGCAACGCGAAGAACCUUACCAGGGCUUGACAUAAUACUGAAUAUACCAGAGAUGGUAUAGCCCUUCGGGGCAGUAUUACAGGUGGUGCAUGGUUGUCGUCAGCUCGUGUCGUGAGAUGUUGGGUUAAGUCCCGCAACGAGCGCAACCCUUGUCUUUAGUUGCCAUCAUUAAGUUGGGCACUCUAGAGAGACUGCCGGUGAUAAAUCGGAGGAAGGUGGGGACGACGUCAAAUCAUCAUGCCCCUUAUGUCCUGGGCUACACACGUACUACAAUGGCUAUUACAACAGGAAGCGAAAACGUAAGUUGGAGCAAAUCCCAAAAGAUAGUCCCAGUUCGGAUUGUGGGCUGAAACUCGCCCACAUGAAGUCGGAAUUGCUAGUAAUUGCAGGUCAGCAUACUGCAGUGAAUACGUUCCCGGGUCUUGUACACACCGCCCGU
rnacentral:rRNA from 1 species